rnacentral:rRNA from 1 species
UUCCAGACUCCUACGGGAGGCAGCAGUGAGGAAUAUUGGUCAAUGGUCGGGAGACUGAACCAGCCAAGCCGCGUGAGGGAUGAAGGUACAGAGUAUCGUAAACCUCUUUUGUCAGGGAACAAAGGCGGGGACGUGUCCCCGGAUGAGUGUACCUGAAGAAAAAGCAUCGGCUAACUCCGUGCCAGCAGCCGCGGUAAUACGGAGGAUGCGAGCGUUAUCCGGAUUUAUUGGGUUUAAAGGGUGCGCAGGCGGUCUGUUAAGUCAGCGGUCAAAGCCCGGGGCUCAACCCCAGCCCGCUGUUGAAACUGGCAGUCUCGAGUUGGAGAGAAGUAUGCGGAAUGCGUGGUGUAGCGGUGAAAUGCAUAGAUAUCACGCAGAACUCCGAUUGCGAAGGCAGCAUACCGGCGCCCAACUGACGCUGAAGCACGAAAGCGUGGGUAUCGAACAGGAUUAGAUACCCCGGUACAC